UGGGGGAUUUUGCACAAUGGGCGCAAGCCUGAUGCAGCGACGCCGCGUGAGGGAUGAAGGCCUUCGGGUUGUAAACCUCUUUCGCUGGGUUGAAAGGCCAUGCUUUGGGUGUGGUUGAUUUGAACUGGUAAAGAAGUACCGGCUAACUACGUGCCAGCAGCCGCGGUAAUACGUAGGGUACUAGCGUUGUCCGGAUUUAUUGGGCGUAAAGGGCUUGUAGGUGGUUUGUCGCGUCUGUCGUGAAAUCCUGUGGCUUAACCAUGGGCUUGCGGUGGGUACGGGCAGGCUUGAGUGCGGUAGGGGAGACUGGAAUUCCUGGUGUAGCGGUGGAAUGUGCAGAUAUCAGGAGGAACACCGGUGGCGAAGGCGGGUCUCUGGGCCGUUACUGACACUGAGGAGCGAAAGCGUGGGGAGCGAACAGG
rnacentral:rRNA from 1 species